UAAAUUUAAAAAUAUAAUACUAAAAUAGUAUAUAAUUAUUUAUUGAAACUUAAAUAAUUUGGCGGUAUUUUAGUUCAUUUAGAGGAAUCUGUUUAAUAAUUGAUAAUCCACGAAUAAAUUUACUUAAUUUAAAAUUUUGUAUAUCGUUGUUAAAAAAAUAUUUUUUAAUAAAAUUAAUAUUUUAUAAUUAGUAUAUAAAUUUAAAUCAGAUCAAGAUGCAGAUUAUAGUUAAGAAUAUAAUGGAUUACAAUAAAUUUAUUUAAAUGAAUAUUAAUUUGUAAGAAUUAAUUGAAAGUGGAUUUAAAUGUAAUUUUAUUUAAUUUAAUAAAAUGAUUAAAAAUUAAAAUAUGU
rnacentral:rRNA from 1 species